ensembl:lncRNA
UUUUGCAUGAGAGUAGCUACUGUAACUUACAGUACUUUUUCAGGAAAAAAGGUAACUUUUCAAAUUAUGACACUAUAUAAUUAUGGCAUUCUUAAUUUAAGACAGUCUGUGAGUGUACCUUAAAUUAAGAAUAUCAUAAUUAUGUCGUCUUAUAUUAGACUCAUUUCGGGGCUAAUGAAAUGACUGCUGCAGGUUGUAGAAUCUUUCGAGGUGGUGUUGAGCAGGAGAAGGACAGGUAAAUGAUGGCCGAGGAGAUUUCACUAUUCACUGAGAGAUGUCAGCAGCAAUGCCAGCCUGAGUUCAGGAGGAUUUCAAAACAGUCACACUCCGUUCAGUGCUGCAACAUGAGCACACAUAUUAUGACAUAACUUCUGAAAACUUGCCUAACUCUUCUGUUUGAUGAUAGACCUUUGCCAUGGAUGUGCCACAUUUAUUUUUUGAGAAGAAUGAAAACGAGUCUGUGAGGAAUAAAAGUGCAACUCGUUCAGUUCAGGAGAUCGUUCUGUUGUUUAAUAACACACUGAUUGUUCAGCUGAUGAUAAAAAUAGAAAGAUGAAAACUCUAUCAAACGGUUUUGAAAGUUUUAAGUUGUGAAAAAUUACUAAGGUCUAUUAAAAGACUCACUUAGCUGUGACUUGAUGUGGAGCAGCAGAAGCAGACCAAUUAAUGCAAAGUAACUAUAUCAUUAUGAACGAUAGAUAUGACAGUUUUAUGAUGCAUUCUUUAAUAAACCUUCUGCAGUAAAACCUAUCUGCAGUGCUGUUCUAUAUUCCAUACCAUUGAGAAAUCCAGUACCAGUAAAGGUUUGAGUGAUGUGUCAUGAAAGGUCAGGAGGGAGAAUGUGUUCAAAGCAGAGUGAGACGUGCAAUCAGUGCAUCUGUCCUUGCAUGUCACAGGAUCAGGGUACACUGUCCACCUGCAACUAUCUAAGGCCACGAACGUGAUGAGCACCCUGAGUCUACCCCAGGACAAGCCCAAAAUAAGAUCAGAUGUUGGCCACGGGUAGAGAUUAUGAACCCUGGGGAUUGUAUAAAGACACCUAGCAUGCUAACUGAGCUGUGUGUGUGUGUGUGUGUGUGUGUGUAUUCUGAUGUGCUGUGCCUGCAAACCUAUUACUUCAUGUAUAUCCAAAAAUACAUCAUAGUUGGAAAUGCAUCAAACAUCUGAAAUCAAU